rnacentral:rRNA from 1 species
UACAGAGGUCUCAAGCGUUGUUCGGAUUCAUUGGGCGUAAAGGGUGCGUAGGCGGCGCUGUAAGUCGGGUGUGAAAUUUCGAGGCUUAACUUCGAAACUGCAUUCGAUACUGCCGUGCUAGAGGACUGGAGAGGAGACUGGAAUUUACGGUGUAGCGGUGAAAUGCGUAGAUAUCGUAAGGAAGACCAGUGGCGAAGGCGGGUCUCUGGACAGUUCCUGACGCUGAGGCACGAAGGCCAGGGGAGCAAACGGG